UACGUAGGGUGCAAGCGUUAAUCGGAAUUACUGGGCGUAAAGCGUGCGCAGGCGGCUUUGCAAGACAGAUGUGAAAUCCCCGGGCUCAACCUGGGAACUGCAUUUGUGACUGCAUGGCUAGAGUACGGUAGGGGGGGAUGGAAUUCCGCGUGUAGCAGUGAAAUGCGUAGAUAUGCGGAGGAACACCGAUGGCGAAGGCAAUCCCCUGGACCUGUACUGACGCUCAUGCACGAAAGCGUGGGGAGCAAACAGG
rnacentral:rRNA from 1 species